AGACUCCAUUUCUUUCUGGUCCAAUCUUGUAAGAUUAUAUGUUUCCAGAAAUUUAUUCAUUUCUUCCAGGUUUUCUAGUUUGUGUGCAUGGAAUUGUUCGCAGUAUUCUCUGAGGUUAUUUUCUAUUUCAGUGGGGUCAAUGGUAAUGUCCCCUAAGUCAUUUGAUUACUUAGAUCUUCUCUCUUGGUUGUUCAUUAGUCUAGCUAGUGGUCUAUUAAUGUUAUUUGCUCUUUAAAAGAAACAGCUUAUGGAUUUGUAGAUUUUUGUAUGGUGUUUCAGAUUUCAAUUUCCUUCAGUUUCACUUUGUUUGACUUUGAUUUUUGGUUAUUUCUUGUCUUCUGCUAAUUUUGGGGCUGGUUUGCUAUUGUUUAUCUAGUUCCUCUAGUUGUGUUGCCAUUUCAGUCUAGUUGAGAACCAUUGCUGGGGAACUAGUACAGUCAUCAGGAGAGUUUCAAGAGUCAUGGUGAUAUGGCUUCAAUGAGUGGAGGAACACCUGGGCUCCAGUCUUGCAUAAAUUAGGGAUAACAAUCAGCUGACACCAAAGUGUGAUAAGAGGUUCUAAUGAUAUAAUGCAUGUAGAAUACACACAAAAAUCACUUUGUGUUUGAAUUACCACUACCAUAAGCAAUGCUCAAUCAGAAAAGCUAGCUUAAUUUUCACCUGUGUCAUGUUAAUUUGUUCCCUUUCUGUUCAAUCAGAUGUAGUUCUGGAGACUUCUAAGCCUUGCCAUCAUACACUUUUUUUCUAUAUUGGAGCUUAGCCUAUAUUGUAAAUAUAAAAUCCUUCGAGGCAGUUGCAGCUUUUAC